CAGAAAUGAUAAGCGAGGCAAGAGAUAAUGCAUUCACAGCCUUUGAUCAACUGCUGUACAUAUGGCACAUGAUGAAAAUCAGACAAAAAGCAAAGUGAUAUUCUCGAUAAAACAGGAAAGAGGACAAGCUUCCACCAAAAUGUUUGAGCCCAGACUAGAGCAAAAUGAGACCCAAAUAUGAAAGAACCCAUGGUGAGUAUUUGUAGGCCUGAACUCAAGAAGCAAAAUACUGGAACUGAACUUCUGAAGACCAGCAGGUACAGGUAAUGCUGCUAUUCAUGGCUACUUCCACUUUUACCCUGAGCUUUAGAAAACCCCGUAAGUAAUCAGAUUACAACUGAAUAGAAAGGUGAAAGUCUGCAAGGUGCAGGCAGUAUUUCAGAAUAUCCAAAUGUGGCGCUUCU
rnacentral:lncRNA from 1 species